rfam:Mus musculus chromosome 9, GRC primary reference assembly.
CCCCCUGGUACUGGGUAGAGACACCUUGUUGGUGGCGGUGUUCUUAUAUCAGUCAGGACAGAGCAGAUGGCGGUCCUUUGUGCAUCCUAACUUGAUGCCUGGCUUAGUGACCAAAGCUGUUUUAUGCCUAGGACACAUAA